rnacentral:rRNA from 1 species
GAUGAACGCUGGCGGCGUGCCUAAUACAUGCAAGUCGAGCGAACAGAUGAGGAGCUUGCUCCUCUGACGUUAGCGGCGGACGGGUGAGUAACACGUGGAUAACCUACCUAUAAGACUGGGAUAACUUCGGGAAACCGGAGCUAAUACCGGAUAAUAUAUUGCACCGCAUGGUUCAAUAGUGAAAGACGGUUUUGCUGUCACUUAUAGAUGGAUCCGCGCCGCAUUAGCUAGUUGGUAAGGUAACGGCUUACCAAGGCAACGAUGCGUAGCCGACCUGAGAGGGUGAUCGGCCACACUGGAACUGAGACACGGUCCAGACUCCUACGGGAGGCAGCAGGAGGGAAUCUUCCGCAAAGGGCGAAAGCCUGACGGAGCAACGCCGCGUGAGUGAUGAAGGUCUUCGGAUCGUAAAACUCUGUUAUUAGGGAAGAACAAAUGUGUAAGUAACUAUGCACGUCUUGACGGUACCUAAUCAGAAAGCCACGGCUAACUACGUG